rnacentral:misc_RNA from 1 species
AAGUCGUAACAAGGUUUCCGUAGGUGAACCUGCGGAAGGAUCAUUACUGAACUGUUAACACGAGUUGUUGCUGGUCCUCAAAUGGGGGCAUGUGCACGCUCUGUUUACAUACCCACUCACACCUGUGCACCCUCUGUAGUUCUGUGGUGUGGGGGACCCUGUCUUCCCACCGUGGUUCUAUGUCUUUACACACACACACGCAGUGAUAAAGUCUUAUGGAAUGUACAUCGCGUUUAACGCAAUACAAUACAACUUUCAGCAACGGAUCUCUUGGCUCUC